rnacentral:lncRNA from 1 species
UCUUGGGGGUCAACCCGGGUUAACCCGGGUCAACCCAGGUCAAUAACAAAAGGAACACAUUAAUAUGGUUCUUUUGACAUAAAAUAUCACAUUAACAUAUAUGUUAGCAUAAUUAAUAAGAAAAUAUCACAUUAACAUAUAUACUAGCAUAAUUAAUUAGCAUCAAGGUGCAUUUAUCUUCAAAUAAAUAAAUAUUUAACAUAAUUUAAAGAUAUUAAAGAUAUGGAUAAUAAAAUAACAAGUUGUUCUAGAGACACAAAAUUUAACAUAAUAGAUAUAAGGGGACAAUAUUCAAACUCUAGUUUGCAUUAGAAUCUAUAAAUCAACAUUUUAACCCCAUUUUACAUUAGAAUCCAUAAAUCAACAUCUUCAGCUGCAUAAAAAAACAAAAGAUGAGUAAAAA